rnacentral:tRNA from 1 species
CUAGGUAUAGCUCAGUGGUAAAGCACAUGUUUAGUGUGCAUUAGGUCCUAGGUUCAAUCCCCAGUACCUCCA